GUGAAACUCAAGAAUAUGAAUAAAGGUGAAAAGUCUCAGAAAAAAAAAAGAGUGAAACUCAAGAAUAUGAAAAUGAUGAGGGAGCUGCAAAUUUGAAAGAACAAAGACAAGUGAAACAAAAAGAUAUUCAUGAUGAAUAUGAUGGUUUUGAGUCUAAAAAGAAAGACUCCAUGACCAAACACGAGAGGAUCACAUAAAAGCCCUCCUUGAGCAGGUACGUUUUACGUGCACUUUAUAGUUUUGGAUUGUGGGCAAGAUUCAUGGGUUGGUAACAAGUUAAAACGAGCCAUCAUGAGUAUGGGCCGAAACGUCCAGUCUGACCUUUAACUACAUUUUCUUUGCAUUUUCAAAAAUAAUUAAGGCAUAAAUUAUGACUACAAAAACAGGAGUGUUGGGAUUAGUGGGUCAAAACUCGAUACAUGGAGCAGUUUUCACUGUGGACAAGAUAGGUGGGUAACAUGUCAAGAUAGGUAUGGGUUAAACCGGUUCAUCAUGAGUGUGGGUCGAAAUGGGCCAAUCUGACCUUCAACCAUGCUUUUCUUUUUAUUUUCAUAAAUAUUUAAGACUUAAAAUGUGACUACAAAAACAAUACAUUUAUAAAAAUAAGGGUUAUAUGCUGGUGUUAGUAUUAACUAAAAUGUAAACAUGCUAAAUGGGAAUGGGUAGUGAUUUCCACUAUGGGCAACAUGGAUGGGUAAGAGGCCAAAUUGGGUUUGGGUUAACCUGUGUUAUCAUGCAUGAAUAUGGAUUUGGGUGUGCUAUUGCUACAAACUGUAGUUGUUGGUGUUGGUCUGAAUAGCAUGUAAGAGACUCCACAUUUAUAACAUAUCAUUGAGUUAGAAUUGCCCACUUUCAAGUGGGCCCGUUUGGGGUGAUGUUUGAUCUCCAAUGUGGUCAAAUGAGUUUAUAAAAUAUCAGGUAAAAGUUAAACGGGUCAAUGGGAUUGAAAGUCGCUAAGUAUCUUGAAUAAUUGUAGUUUCCUGAAUAUUCUAUAUAAUAAAGCUAUAUAAAACUGACAUGUGUUUUGAAAAAGAGUGGAACUAAAUCGGAUAUAAUUUUGACCAAAU
rnacentral:lncRNA from 1 species